rnacentral:misc_RNA from 1 species
UCCCGGUUUGUCCGGGCAGUCUCGCCAGAAAAAUACAACUAAUCACAAGGGUUGCGCUCGUUGAUGGACUUAACCAAACAUCUCACGACACGAGCUGACGACGGCCAUGCAACAUCUGUCACUUGGUUCAAUAAAGCACUCACUACUUUCGUAGUAAUUCCAAGGAUGUCAAACCCUGGUAAGGUUCUUCGUUUAGCAUCGAAUUAAAGAACAUAAUCCACCGCUUGUGCGGCUCCCCGUCAAUUCCUUUAUGUUUUAGUCUUGCGACCGUACUCCACAGGCGGGAUACUUAACGCGUUAGCUUCGCUACUGAAGGGGUCGAUACCUCCAACAGCUAGUAUCCAUCGUUUACGGCGUGGACUAC